rnacentral:rRNA from 1 species
AGCCUGCAGUUGAAUGGGAUACCUAAAGUUCCCAUGGCAAACUGCUCAGUAACACAUGAUCAACUUGCCCUAUAGAGAAAAAUAACCUCGGGAAACUGAGGAUAAUGUUUCAUAGUCGAAUUGGCUUGGAAAAGUUUUUCGGCGAAAGGGGUAAAAAAAAUGGUUUUUAUCUGCUAUAGGAUAGGAUCGUGUUCGAUUAUGGUUGUUGGUGAGGUAAUGGCUCACCAAGCCGAUAAUCGAUAGGGGCCGUGAGAGCGGGAGCCCCGAGAUGGGUACUGAGACAACGACCCAGGCCUUACGAGGCGCAGCAGGCGCGAAACCUCCGCAAUACACGAAAGUGUGACGGGGUUACCCAAAGUGUUCAAUUUUGAACUGUGGUAGGUGAGUAAUGUUCCCUACUAGAAAGGAGAGGGCAAGGCUGGUGCCAGCCGCCGCGGUAAAACCAGCUCUUCAAGUGGUCGGGAUAAUUAUUGGGCUUAAAGUGUCCUAAGGCCGGUUCAGUAAGUUCCUGGUAAAAUCAGGUAGCUUAACUAUCUAUAUGCUAGGAAUACUACUAUGCUAGAGGGCGGGAGAGGUCGAGGUCUACAGGGGUAGGGGUGAAAUCUUAUAAUCCUUGUUGGACCACCAGUGGCGAAGGCGUCAGACUGGAACUGCGCCUGACGGUGAGGGACGGAAAGCCAGGGGAGCGAACGGAUUAGAUACCCUGGGUAGCCUGGCCGGUAAACGAUGCAUAUAGGUGAUGGCACGGCCAUGAGCCGUGUCAGUGCCGUAGGGAAACCGGUUAAGUGUGCCGCCUGGGAAGUCGGUCGCAAGGCUAAAACUUAAAGGAAUUGGCGGGGGAGCACCACAAGGGGUGAAGCCUGCGGUUCAAUUGGACUCAACGCCGGAAAACUUCCAGGGGAGACAGCAGUAUGACGGUCAGGUUGACGACCUUCCUAACGAGCUGAGAGGAGGUGCAUGGCCGUCGCCAGUUCGUGCCCGUGAGGUAUCCUGUUAAGUCAGGCAACGAACGAGAUCGCACCUUUAUUUGCCACCAAGAAGUCCCGACUUCGUUGGGAACACUUAAAGGGACCUGCCGUCGAAUAGACGGAGGAAGGACCGGGCAAAAGAGGGUCAGNAUGCCCGAAACCCCUGGGCUCCCGC